AAAAACUGGCCAUGCUACCCUGAACAAGCCUGAUCCCAUCUGAUCUCGGAAGCUAAGCAGGGUCGGGCCUGGUUAGUACUUCAAUGGGAGAGCACUUAAGAAGAUCAGGUGCUGUAGGCG
rnacentral:rRNA from 1 species